ensembl:lincRNA
AUGGAAAGGAGGAGAUCGCAGCAGGGAAGUUUUUGUUCUUGUUCACAUGCUAACAAUGGACAAAAUGAAAAGAACUUUUAUGAUCUGGCUCCAAUUAUACUUUCGAGGUUCAAGUCUUCCCAUCCGACUAUCGAUUUACGGCAAUGGAUUGGUCAAGGAAGGAUAAAGAAACUUGGAAAGAACUAUCAUGAUACCUGCCCUGAGAAGCUGAAAUUUGGUUUAACUUUGUGUUGUUUACUGUUUGGUUCUAUAAAAGCUAAGUUUAUAAAAUAUUGUAUGACAGGUGAAUUUAAAUGUUACUAACCAUCUUGGAUGUCCUGCUCUUCUGCUGUACAGCAAUAAAGUCUCUCUAAAUGCAAUGUUUGGGACAGAGUUGCUCUGGGAAAUAUAGUGGUUUGAAAGGUGGCUAUUGUACCCAAG